GCCAGCAUGGCAUAGUGGUUUGAGCAUUGGACUAUGACUCUGGAGACCAGGGUUUGAUUCCCAGCUCGGUCA